GUCUGAUAUUUGCCAUUAACUACAAUCUGCAAGAUGUUUAGAAACUUCAAUUGACUAAACUGUUAAUGUCACAAAACUAAUCAGUGAUUGUUCUACUGCAGAAUGAAUUCGAGCUUAGCAGCCACCGAUCAUGAACCGACAGAUGCCAGGAAAUCCUUUCCUUGUUUUGAUGAGUGCAACAAAAAGGCAACUUAUACAAUAUCUUUCACCCAUCCCAAAGGAUCUGAGGCAUUUCAAAUAUGCCAGUGGCGAAAUAAGGGUCCGUGGAUGAAAAAUGGAAUCAAACAACUUUCGAGAAGUCUGGCCCCAUGA
rnacentral:lncRNA from 1 species